rnacentral:lncRNA from 1 species
AGGAUAAAUCUAGACAGCUCCUAACUACCAAGAUCACCUUUGAGCACUCCAGAUAAAAAACUAGCCACUCAACUGGUCAGGUAAGUGUAAGGUUGGUGGGGGUCCCCCCGUUGCUUUCCUUAGACACCAACUGAGUUGGUCAAGUAAGCAAAUAGAAUCAAUUAAAUAACCAUCUUCCUUCUGGAUAUAGUCCUUGAACCACUUUCCUAGACAUCAGUCAAACUGACUAACCCUAACCC